rnacentral:misc_RNA from 1 species
GCAACUCCUAAAAGAGCUAGAAAAUCAAGGCAUGGCAUUAAUAGAAAGGUAAUUUCUGUCUUCUUUUGUUUCAAAAAUGUUUAAAUUAGAAAAUAACAAAGAAAAAUAGAGCAGCAUGGCUUUCAAAAUUUGUACGAUCUUGUUAAAGGCUUUGACUAAUCAGCGUUCUGCAUCCAUUAUUAAACAUAUUCAAAGCAAAUGG